rnacentral:rRNA from 1 species
AGAGUUUGAUCCUGGCUCAGAUUGAACGCUGGCGGAAUGCUUUACACAUGCAAGUCGAACGGCAGCACGGGUGCUUGCACCUGGUGGCGAGUGGCGAACGGGUGAGUAAUGCGUCGGAACGUACCGAGUAAUGGGGGAUAACGCAGCGAAAGUUGUGCUAAUACCGCAUACGCCCUGAGGGGGAAAGUGGGGGAUCGCAAGACCUCACGUUAUUCGAGCGGCCGACGUCUGAUUAGCUAGUUGGUGGGGUAAAGGCCUACCAAGGCGACGAUCAGUAGCGGGUCUGAGAGGAUGAUCCGCCACACUGGGACUGAGACACGGCCCAGACUCCUACGGGAGGCAGCAGUGGGGAAUUUUGGACAAUGGGGGCAACCCUGAUCCAGCCAUUCCGCGUGAGUGAAGAAGGCCUUCGGGUUGUAAAGCUCUUUCAGCUGGAGUGAAACGGUACGCGCUAACAUCGCGUGCUAAUGACGGUACCAGCAGAAGAAGCACCGGCUAACUACGUGCCAGCAGCCGCGGUAAUACGUAGGGUGCGAGCGUUAAUCGGAAUUACUGGGCGUAAAGCGUGCGCAGGCGGAUUGUUAAGCAAGACGUGAAAUCCCCGGGCUUAACCUGGGAAUGGCGUUUUGAACUGGCAGUCUAGAGUGCGUCAGAGGGGGGUGGAAUUCCACGUGUAGCAGUGAAAUGCGUAGAGAUGUGGAGGAACACCAAUGGCGAAGGCAGCCCCCUGGGAUGACACUGACGCUCAUGUACGAAAGCGUGGGUAGCAAACGGGAUUAGAUACCCUGGUAGUCG